rnacentral:tRNA from 1 species
GGGCUCAUGGCGGAAUUGGUAUACGCGUUAGAUUCAGGGUCUAAUAGGAUUCGUCCUGUGAGAGUUCAAGUCUCUCUGAGCCCA